rnacentral:lncRNA from 1 species
CUCUCUUGGAUUGUAUCUCUAGACAACAAGUGGCAUCAGAGCAGAAACUCUCUUUCACUUAUGUGUCUUAUGAUCUAGAGUAAAAGAUCAAGAUGACAAUCCAAUUGAAUAUUUCUCUAGCGGAAAGACAAUCCACUAACUGACCUCCUUUAUUCAAUGGCUCAAAUUACACUUAUUGGGAAGCACGCAUACGCAUAUUCAUUCAAGCGCUUGAUUAUAAUCUAUGAGGUGUUAUAAUCAAUAGACUAUAUAUACUCACAGUCAC